CAGGGAAUCUUGCACAAUGGGCGAAAGCCUGAUGCAGCGACGCCGCGUGGGGGAUGAAGGCCUUAGGGUCGUAAACCCCUUUCAGCAGGGACGAAAAUGACGGUACCUGCAGAAGAAGCCCCGGCCAACUACGUGCCAGCAGCCGCGGUAAGACGUAGGGGGCGAGCGUUGUCCGGAUUUAUUGGGCGUAAAGAGCUCGUAGGCGGUUGCGUAAGUCGGAUGUGAAAACUCAGGGCUCAACCCUGAGACGCCAUCCGAUACUGCGCUGACUUGAAUCCAGUAGGGGAGUGUGGAAUUCCUGGUGUAGCGGUGAAAUGCGCAGAUAUCAGGAGGAACACCCAUGGCGAAGGCAGCACUCUGGGCUGGUAUUGACGCUGAGGAGCGAAAGCAUGGGUAGCGAACAGGAUUAGAUACCCGCGUAGUCCCUGAGCGGGCUGGCAAGGCGCAU
rnacentral:rRNA from 1 species